rnacentral:rRNA from 1 species
AUGAACGCUAGCGACAGGCUUAACACAUGCAAGUCGAGGGGCAGCGGGGGUAGCAAUACCCGCCGGCGACCGGCGCACGGGUGAGUAACGCGUAUGCAACUUGCCUAUCAGAGGGGGAUAACCCGGCGAAAGUCGGACUAAUACCGCAUGAAGCAGGGGCCCCGCAUGGGGAUAUUUGCUAAAGAUUCAUCGCUGAUAGAUAGGCAUGCGUUCCAUUAGGCAGUUGGCGGGGUAACGGCCCACCAAACCGACGAUGGAUAGGGGUUCUGAGAGGAAGGUCCCCCACAUUGGUACUGAGACACGGACCAAACUCCUACGGGAGGCAGCAGUGAGGAAUAUUGGUCAAUGGGCGAGAGCCUGAACCAGCCAAGUCGCGUGAGGGAUGGAGGUUCUAUGGAUCGUAAACCUCUUUUAUAAGGGAAUAAAGUGACCCACGUGUGGGUUUUUGUAUGUACCUUAUGAAUAAGGAUCGGCUAACUCCGUGCCAGCAGCCGCGGUAAUACGGAGGAUCCGAGCGUUAUCCGGAUUUAUUGGGUUUAAAGGGUGCGUAGGCGGCCUUUUAAGUCAGCGGUGAAAGUCUGUGGCUCAACCAUAGAAUUGCCGUUGAAACUGGAGGGCUUGAGUAUGUUUGAGGCAGGCGGAAUGCGUGGUGUAGCGGUGAAAUGCUUAGAUAUCACGCAGAACCCCGAUCGCGAAGGCAGCCUGCCAAGCCAUGACUGACGCUGAUGCACGAAAGCGUGGGGAUCAAACAGGAUUAGAUACCCUGGUAGUCCACGCAGUAAACGAUGAUCACUAGCUGUUUGCGAUACACGGUAAGCGACACAGCGAAAGCGUUAAGUGAUCCACCUGGGGAGUACGCCGGCAACGGUGAAACUCAAAGGAAUUGACGGGGGCCCGCACAAGCGGAGGAACAUGUGGUUUAAUUCGAUGAUACGCGAGGAACCUUACCCGGGUUUGAACGCAUUUCGACCGCUCUGGAAACAGAGCCUCUAGCAAUAGCGAUUUGCGAGGUGCUGCAUGGUUGUCGCCAGCUCGUGCCGUGAGGUGUCGGCUUAAGUGCCAUAACGAGCGCAACCCUUGCCACUAGUUACUAACAGGUUAGGCUGAGGACUCUGGUGGGACUGCCAGCGUAAGCUGCGAGGAAGGCGGGGAUGACGUCAAAUCAGCACGGCCCUUACAUCCGGGGCGACACACGUGUUACAAUGGCGUGGACAAAGGGAAGCCACCUGGCGACAGGGAGCGAAUCCCCAAACCACGUCUCAGUUCGGAUCGGAGUCUGCAACCCGACUCCGUGAAGCUGGAUUCGCUAGUAAUCGCGCAUCAGCCAUGGCGCGGUGAAUACGUUCCCGGGCCUUGUACACACCGCCCGUCAAGCCAUGGGAGCCGGGGGUACCUGAAGUCCGUAACCGCGAGGAUCGGCCUAGGGUAAAACUGGUGACUGGGGCUAA